UACGAGAGGCCCAAACGUUAUUCGGAUUUACUGGGCUUAAAGAGUUCGUAGGCGGCGCAGAAAGUGGGGUGUGAAAGCCCCUCGGCUCAACCGAGGAAUUGCGCUCCAAACUACUGUGCUAGAGGAAGCUAGAGGUGAGCAGAACAGAUGGUGGAGCGGUGAAAUGCGUAGAUAUCUGGAGGAAUACCGGUGGCGAAGGCGGCAUCCUGGACCGGCAUUGACGCUGAGGAGCGAAAGCUAGGGGAGCAAACGGG
rnacentral:rRNA from 1 species